UUUCAGGAUAAUCAGUAUUGUCGAAAAAUGGAAUCGAUCUGAAGGAACGCCUCAGGUGGCAUAUACUUUUCCCGAAUGCAGUGGUGAUUGCUUGUGAUAGAAAGGCUGCUACCCUUUUACUUCAGAGGCUGCUGUCCUACUUCCCUCCAAAUUCAGAUGCAUAUCUGAACAAUUACAUGCUUGGUGAGAAGUCCAUUUUACAAGAUGCUGAGCUUGAGGGGAUAAAGGAUGUGGAAGGUUUGCCCCCACCUCCAGAAAUUAAGGAUGGCAUUCCAUCCCAGAAAUAUAAUGGGGAUGUUAGUUAUUUUAUCUGCACGAGGUCUGGGAGAGGUCCAGUUGUGCUUUCUAAUAAAAGCAUUUUCAACCCCAAAAACGCGCUGCCCAAGUAAGUUCGGAGUAUGCUAUUUUCCCAUGCUUUAAAUCUUCGUUGUCUCAAUGGGGCUGGAGUUGGGGGUAUCUUCAUCAAUCUGAUGUCUCUUAGAGUGUGACUGCGGUCACUUUAAAAUGACUGAAUACGUCAAUUGUAAUUUAUUUUUCUCGUUCUGGAUAAUUUUCUAAGGUUUAUGUUAGUCCUUUUGACAUGUUUACAAACAAGUUGUGUAUUUGCCUUCUGAGAUUUCAGCUGUGUAACUUAGGAGGCCUUGUCACUUGGAUCAGUCCUCAGUAAUUGUUUGAAUAAGAGUUAUCCUUUUUGCUUCCGGUUCA